UUCAAUUCACCAUCAGCUCUUUCUUGUUCCCUGCGGUCGCCAUUCUCCUCUUCGAAACGAAACCCUUUUCGGCAUAGCCAAAAACGCCAUAGCAAAUCAAUCUUUUCAAAUCCUCCAAACCGUGCGUUGCUCUGCGACGGAGCAACCUGUGAUUCAUCAAUUUCUCCUCCUCUUGCCGCCCCAGAUGGCGAGUUUUGUCCACAAACUUGCUAAAACGCACCGGCGUUAAGAACAGCGGCGUCCCUCAAAUCCCAUCUCUUCCCCAAACCCACAGCCUCCCUUAUUUCUCACCAUAGCCAUCUGGGCGCUCCCAAACCCGAAUUCUCAGAAGACCCGGUUGCCCAAUUAGGUCCCGCAAGCUUCCACAAUGCUGAAUCUCCCAAUCCCUUCCCUAUUUUCCCCAAUUUCUGCUUAAAUCCGAUUUCUCCAGCUGGGUUCGAUCGGUUGGGUGUUUUAGAGGCGGUCGAGGUGGAGUCCGAUGAUGUGAGGACGAUUUGGGCUGACAGUGUGAAGAAGAAGAGGAAGAAGAAGAUGAACAAGCAUAAGUUAAAGAAGCUAAGGAAGAGUCUUUGCCGCAAGUCCAGAGCUUGAUGUGUUAGAUUGGUUGGAUGGUGCUCCCAGAAGACAAACUGUCAACUAGAUGGGUAAAUGUCCUUGCCAUGCCAUUUUCUUAAAAUGGUUACUGUUUAGUAUAGUAGCUAGUGAUAGGUGUUGUGCAAUGAGAUAACUAAAGAAAUGAAGAUUUCAAAAUUCGAAAUUGUGAUCCCUUGAUCAAGUAGUUGAAUGGGAAUCCCUUUGAUUCUAAGUGAAGCUGAAUGUGUACUGCCUGUGUAACCGGUGACUGAAAUAUAAUUUGCUUGUUAUAUUGA